rnacentral:piRNA from 1 species
UAACCUUCUUGUAGGACCUGGAAGCGGC